rnacentral:rRNA from 1 species
GACGAACGCUGGCGGCGUGCUUAACACAUGCAAGUCGAACGGAAAGGCCCUGCUUUUGUGGGGUGCUCGAGCGGCGAACGGGUGAGUAACACGUGAGUAACCUGCCCUUGACUUUGGGAUAACUUCAGGAAACUGGGGCUAAUACCGGAUAGGAGCUCCUGCUGCAUGGUGGGGGUUGGAAAGUUUCGGCGGUUGGGGAUGGACUCGCGGCUUAUCAGCUUGUUGGUGGGGUAGUGGCUUACCAAGGCUUUGACGGGUAGCCGGCCUGAGAGGGUGACCGGCCACAUUGGGACUGAGAUACGGCCCAGACUCCUACGGGAGGCAGCAGUGGGGAAUAUUACACAAUGGGCGGAAGCCUGAUGCAGCAACGCCGCGUGCGGGAUGACGGCCUUCGGGUUGUAAACCGCUUUCGCCUGUGACGAAGCGUGAGUGACGGUAAUGGGUAAAGAAGCACCGGCUAACUACGUG